CAUUCUCCUUUUCCAACAGCUUCCGCUUUGCAACCGUUCAUUGCACACGUGCCGUUGACAAAGUCAAAGUUUUGUUCCCGCAGGUAUGCUGCUAUCCUCCUCCAGCGUGAAGAGAGAGAAAACCCGAAGCUGCAACAAUCACCAGUUCUCUGGCAGCAACACCUAUCUCUCCUGCAAUCAACCGCAUUCUUGAUUGAUGCUGCCAAUUAUGCAGGUGUUGAUGGAGUAGCAUUUCUCCUCAACCGAGACCGCAAAGUGACAUAUGAUUCUCUUUUUUCAAAAUGUUGGUAAUGGAUUAUGGCUUGCAAAAGAACCAAUUUUGCUGAAGAGUACUGUCAAGUGUAAGGUUCGCCACUUUGUACGCCAAGACAUUCCCUUCUUGAGGCACCCAGAUGAAUUCACAAUUCGGGAUGCUUCUUGCUAAAUCCAAUAUUUCGUCUAGAAUAACUUAAAUUUCUGCAAUUGAUGCCUGUGAUUUCAGAGCUUGAAUGAGGACCAUACUAUCAGAUUCUAUCACAUUUACUAUAUUCAUUUGGGUGAUAUACUCUUUUGUUUUUUGUUCAGGAGUCAUAUACUCUUCAAUGAUAUAUUCCUCCUACAUCAUGGUUUUUCCUAUCCAUAAUAACACCUAAAAUAACCAAGGCCUUAUGUGAAAUGUUUUUGGUCUCCCGGCCCAAUCAUUACAACAGCAUGCUUGGCUCUAACUAUCCUUUUUGACAUUUCCAAAAAAAAAAA